UUGGAAUUGGGGACAAAAUGGGGACAAAAUGGGGACAAAAUGGUGGCGUUGGAUUGGGGACAAAAUGGUGGCGUUGGAAUGGGGACAAAAUGGUGGUGUUGAAAUUGGGGACAAAAUGGUGACAUUGGAAUUGGGGACAAAAUGGGGACAAAAUGGUGGCAUUGGAAUUGGGGACAAAAUGGUGGCGUUGGAAUUGGGGACAAAAUGGGGACAAAAUGGUGGCGUUGGAAUGGGGACAAAAUGGUGGUGUUGAAAUUGGGGACAAAAUGGUGGCGUUGGAAUUGGGGACAAAAUGGGGACAAAAUGGUGGCAUUGGAAUUGGGGACAAAAUGGGGACAAAAUGAUGGCGUUGGAGUGGGGACAAAAUGGUGGCGUUGGAAUGGGGACAAAAUGGGGACAAAAUGGUGACAUGGAUGGAGAACAAAAUGGCAUUAAAAUGAGGGACAAAACGGGUGACAAAAUGGUGACAUUGAAUUGGGGACAAAAUGGGUGACAAAAUGUUGACAUAAGGAAUGGGGACAAAAUGGUGGCAUUGGAAUGGGGACAAAAUGGGGGGACAAAAUGGUGACAUGGAAAUUGGGGACAAAAUGGUGGCAUUAAAAUGGAGGGAACAAAAUGGCGGCGUUGGAAUGGGGACAAAAUGGCGGCACUGAAAUGGGGUGGGGUGGCAAUAAAGACUUUUCAACCCCAAAAA